rnacentral:rRNA from 1 species
AUGGGAUGGAAGGAAAGGCCACUUUCAACAGGAGGAAAGGAAUUGCUAGUCAUAUCAAUUGUACAAGCUAUACUAUCUUAUGCAAUAUCGGUUUUUGAAAUUCCAAAAUAGAUUUGCAAAGGAAUUACAGAUGCGAUGUCGCAUUAUUGGUGGGGUGAUGGUUACAAUCCGAGGAUAAUGCAUUGGUUUGUGUGGUGGAAGUUGUGUGUGGCAAAGAAAGAAGGUGGAAUGGGGUUUCGAGAUAUUCAUUAUUUUAAUCUAGCCCUACUCGCGAAACAGGCUUGGAGAUUAAUUGAUAAUCCGGAUUCCCUUUGUGCCCGUGCUCUCAAACCCAAAUAA